GUCCAUGGCCACACCACCCUGAACAUGCCUGAUCUCGUCUGAACUCAGAAACUAAGGAGGGUCGGGUCUGGUUAGUACUUGGAUGGGAGUAAGGUAACUGACUGAACUCUAAAAUAGCAUUUACA
rnacentral:rRNA from 1 species